rnacentral:rRNA from 1 species
UACGAAGGGGGCUAGCGUUGUUCGGAAUUACUGGGCGUAAAGCGUGCGCAGGCGGCUUCUCAAGUCAGGGGUGAAAGCCCAGAGCUCAACUCUGGAAUUGCCUUUGAGACUGAGUGGCUUGAGUACGAGAGAGGUGAGUGGAAUUCCCAGUGUAGAGGUGAAAUUCGUAGAUAGUUGGGAAGAACACCGGUGGCGAAGGCGGCUCACUGGACCACAACUGACGCUGAGGCGCGAAAGCGUGGGGAGCGAUCCGG